rnacentral:rRNA from 1 species
UGGGGAAUUUUGCGCAAUGGGGGAAACCCUGACGCAGCGACGCCGCGUGGAGGAUGAAGUACUUCGGUACGUAAACUCCUUUCGAUCGGGACGAUAAUGACGGUACCGGAAGAAGAAGCCCCGGCUAACUUCGUGCCAGCAGCCGCGGUAAUACGAGGGGGGCAAGCGUUGUUCGGAAUUAUUGGGCGUAAAGGGUGCGUAGGCGGUUUGGUAAGUCUUAUGUGAAAUCUCCGGGCUCAACUCGGAGUCUGCAUGGGAAACUGCCGGGCUUGAGUGUGGGAGAGGUGAGUGGAAUUUCCGGUGUAGCGGUGAAAUGCGUAGAUAUCGGAAGGAACACCUGUGGCGAAAGCGGCUCACUGGACCACAACUGACGCUGAUGCACGAAAGCUAGGGGAGCAAACAGGAUUAGAUACCCUGGUAGUCCUAGCCCUAAACGAUGACUGCUUGGUGUGACGGGUACCCAAUCCCGCCGUGCCGUAGCUAACGCGUUAAGCAGUCCGCCUGGGGAGUACGGUCGCAAGGCUG